AUGCGCCGCUUCCUCACCGACAGGGCGCGCCGCGCGGUGGCCGCUUCCCUGCGCGGCGCCACCAGACCAGCCGCGCCGUCUCCGGCUCCGGCCGCGGCGCUGUCUCGACCUUCCCCUUCUGCUCCUUCGGCGAUGGCGGCCUACAUGGCGAGGGCCAUGUCCACUUCGGCCGCCGGUACGCCGCCAGUGUCACUCGACACCAUCAACCCCAAGGUCUUGGAGUUCAAAUAUGCUGUUCGUGGAGAGAUUGUUACACAUGCUCAGAACUUAGAACAAGAGUUACACAAAAAUCCAGAAUCGCUUCCUUUUGAUGAGAUACUCUAUUGUAACAUUGGAAAUCCUCAUUCCCUUGGUCAACAACCUGUUACAUUUUUCAGAGAAGUUCUCUCUUUAUGUGAUCAUCCAGCUCUCUUGGACAAAAGUGAGACUCAUGCUCUAUACAGUUCAGAUGCUAUAGAGAGAGCAUGGCAAAUUCUAGAGAAGAUCCCAGGAAGAGCGACAGGAGCAUAUAGCCAUAGUCAGGGUGUGAAAGGUUUGCGUGAUGAAAUUGCUGCCGGUAUUGCUGCUCGUGAUGGUUUCCAUGCUAGUGGAGAUAACAUCUUCCUUACAGAUGGAGCAAGCCCAGCAGUCCACAUGAUGAUGCAGUUACUGAUAAGGUCUGAGAAGGAUGGCAUUCUCUGCCCUCUUCCACAAUACCCGCUGUAUUCUGCAUCAAUUGCUCUUCAUGGUGGUUCUUUUGUACCUUAUUUCCUUGAUGAAGAGACAGGGUGGGGGCUAGAGGUUGACGAGCUUAAAAAACAAGUAGAUGAGGCUCGGUCUAAGGGUAUCACUGUCAGAGCGCUCGUGGUCAUAAAUCCGGGAAACCCAACUGGACAGGUUCUUGCGGAGGAAAACCAAAAGAAAAUUGUUGAAUUCUGCAAGAACGAAGGACUUGUUCUUCUUGCAGAUGAGGUUUACCAAGAAAACAUAUAUGUUGAGGAUAAGCAGUUCCACUCUUUCAAAAAGAUUGCACGGUCAAUGGGAUACACCGAUGAUGAUCUUCCUUUGGUAUCGUUCCAGUCAGUUUCUAAAGGUUACUAUGGAGAAUGUGGUAAACGAGGAGGCUACAUGGAAGUAACUGGGUUUAAUGCCGAUGUAAGAGAACAAAUUUACAAGGUGGCAUCAGUGAAUCUUUGUUCCAAUAUCUCUGGCCAAAUUCUCUCUAGCCUCAUAAUGAACCCACCCAAGGUAGGGGAUGAAUCCUAUGAAUCCUUCAUGGUAGAGAGAGAUGGUAUUAUUUCAUCGCUGGCUCGGCGUGCAAAGGCCUUGGAAGAAGCAUUCAACAGUUUAGAAGGCAUCACCUGCAACAAGGCUGAGGGUGCAAUGUAUUUGUUCCCUCGCCUUCAUUUACCCCAGAAGGCGAUUGGGGCUGCCCAAGCAGCUGGUGCUGCCCCAGAUGCAUACUAUGCUCUCCGCCUUCUUCAAGCCACUGGAAUUGUCGUCGUUCCUGGAUCUGGAUUUGGUCAGGCUCCUGGAACGUAUCACUUCAGAUGCACGAUCUUGCCACAGGAGGACAAAAUCCCUGCAAUCAUAUCCAGAUUCAAGGAAUUCCAUGAGAAAUUCAUGGACGAAUUCCGUGAUGUUAGCCGUGAUGAAGCACCCACCGGUGCAACGAUUGAAAGUGGAGGAGAUUAA
rnacentral:rRNA from 1 species